rnacentral:rRNA from 1 species
UACGAAGGGAGCUAGCGUUGUUCGGAAUCACUGGGCGUAAAGCGCACGUAGGCGGAUGUGUCAGUCAGGGGUGAAAUCCCGGAGCUCAACUUCGGAACUGCCUUUGAUACAGCACGUCUUGAGUCCGAUAGAGGUGGGUGGAAUUCCUAGUGUAGAGGUGAAAUUCGUAGAUAUUAGGAAGAACACCAGUGGCGAAGGCGGCUACCUGGACCGGUACUGACGCUGAUGCGCGAAAGCGUGGGUAGCAAACAGG